rnacentral:rRNA from 1 species
GACGAACGCUGGCGGCGUGCUUAACACAUGUAAGUCGAACGAAGUGGCGAACGGGUGAGUAACGCGUAAUCAACCUGCCCUUCAGAGGGGGACAACAGUUGGAAACGACUGCUAAUACCGCAUACUGAAGGAGGGGAUUGCGUCUGAUUAGCUAGUUGGAGGGGUAACGGCCCACCAAGGCGAUGAUCAGUAGCCGGUCUGGGGGGGUGAACGGCCCCAAUGGGACUGGGACCCGGCCCAGACUUCCUCGGGAAGCAGCAGUGGGGAAUCUUCCGGAAUGGACGGAAGUCUGACGGAGCAACGCCGCGGGAGUGGUGACGGCCUUCGGGUUGUAAAGCUCUGUUAAUCGGGACGCGGUACCGGAAUAGAAAGCCACGGCUAACUACGUGCCAGCAGCCGCGGUAAUAC